AGUGAACGCUGGCGGUAGGCCUAACACAUGCAAGUCGAACGGCAGCACAGUAAGAGCUUGCUCUUACGGGUGGCGAGUGGCGGACGGGUGAGGAAUACAUCGGAAUCUACUUUUUCGUGGGGGAUAACGUAGGGAAACUUACGCUAAUACCGCAUACGACCUACGGGUGAAAGCAGGGGAUCUUCGGACCUUGCGCGAUUGAAUGAGCCGAUGUCGGAUUAGCUAGUUGGCGGGGUAAAGGCCCACCAAGGCGACGAUCCGUAGCUGGUCUGAGAGGAUGAUCAGCCACACUGGAACUGAGACACGGUCCAGACUCCUACGGGAGGCAGCAGUGGGGAAUAUUGGACAAUGGACGCAAGCCUGAUCCAGCCAUACCGCGUGGGUGAAGGAGGCCUUCGGGUUGUAAAGCCCUUUUGUUGGGAAAGAAAAGCAGCAGGUUAAUACCCCGCUGUUCUGACGGUACCCAAAGAAUAAGCACCGGCUAACUUCGUG
rnacentral:rRNA from 1 species